UCAAAAAAAAAAAAAAGCAAAGGACCCAGAACACAGUCAUAAACCAACACAGUUACGCACACAUUAUGAUUUUCCCACCCACGGACUUGAGGAGCGGGGUGCUGUUCAGCCCCCAAUUUGCAUAUUCUCCCCACCGCCAUGAGAGCUGGCAUUGUGUUGGUUACAGACCGGCUCACUCUGCCUGGCAUCCAGCUACGCCCGAGUUCUAUUUCCCGAGUCUUGGUAUUUUAUGAGACCAUGCCAGGGAAGAGCGAGAGGUAGAGUCCAGGUGAGGAGCAGGCAGAUUAGGCCUUAGAGAAGGGUGUUGGGGUGUCGGGGGAGGCAGGGGCAGCCCGAAAGAGUGCAGGCAGCACCUUCCUGAAAAUUCCACUGCCCUGGACUGCCACCCACUGCCAUGGCUUAGCACAGGGAAAGGGCUCAGAGGGCCGACAGAGCCUGCGUCCCUGGCUGUAUGGCCUCAGGAGUGAAGAAGAAAAGAGGUGGUCUCAGUCCCCUGAGGGGCCAGGACGUCAGAUGCAGACCAUGAAGGUCACGAGGAUUCAGGGAAGAGGAACCCCAGGUCAGCAGGCGCCUUGGAGCUAGGCAGACCCAGGCUCCAAUCCUGGUUCCCAGGCACCUAGAAGCUGUGCAGCCUUGGGCAAGUCACCACACCUCUCUGAGCCUCAGCUCCAAUGUCCAGAGUCGAGCAGGAGACACCAAGCCCAAGAGGCAGGAUGAUACAAGGAGCUUUUCGGAAUUCGCUCUUUUCAGAACUCUUGGUAUAGAUCAGCCCAGUCAGAGGAGCUGGUGAAAUUUAUAGGAACUGUAAGAAUCAUUGCAGCAGUGACUACCCUCCGCUUCUGGAAAAUAAAGCCCUUGCAGUAAACACUGUUCAUUCUCUGAAGGGUAGACCAGAGCACUUACGGGAGCGAGAUGCAAAUAAGACUCAAGGUCAGGGCAGGAGAAUCCUGGGUGAGAAACCUCAGCUGAGCCCUUCUAACAUCCCAAGCCUUUGCAAGGCUCUGAAGGGCAAAAAUUCCAGGUGAGCUGGAAGCUCCCAGGCUGACGUCCCUCGUGGUGCCAGUUGGAUAAAGUUCAAGCUCCUUGGCUCUGCACCAGGCCCAUCACAAGAUGCUCCUCCCUACUCAUGUCCUGCUUCAGCGAGAAAGGACAGAGUGCUGUUCCCUGAUAAGCCCUACAGUUGCCCACUGCUGUGAACUUCCUGCAUGGACUGCCCUUCCUUGCCUCCAACUGCUGGGGGCUCCUACUCUCUACAGCCCAGGGAGCACACUCUCCUUACUCAUAACUCUCUGAGACCACUUAGCACCCUGGACAGCAGGGGCUUGUGCCAGCUUUGCCCAUCCCCACUCUAAGACUGAGGGAGCGCUGGGACUGUGGGAGGGCUGGGACUGAGGAAGGGUUGGGACUGAGGGAGGGCUGGGACUGAGGGAGGGCUGGGACUGUGGGAGGGCUGGGACUGAGGGGGGUGCCAGGACUGAGAAAGGGCUGGGACUGAGGGGGGUGCUGGGACUGAGAAAGGGCUGGGACUGAGGCAGGGCUGGCCUCUGAGGGAGUGCCGGGACCACACUAGGCUUACCUCCUUCUUCCCAGGGCCAAAGCUGGCACAAUGUGUUUAAUGAAUUUAUAAAGAAAGAGAGGAGAAAAAAAAAGAGAGAAGAGAGAGGGAGGGAGAGAGGUAGCAAGGGAAAGAAAGGGAGAGAGUGAGGUAGGGAGGGAGGGAGGGAGGGGAAGGGAGGAAAGGAAAGGAGGAAGGACAGAUCCUAGAAUCCAGAUAAUAUAAAGGUACCAAGAUGCCAAGUGUCAAUGUCUUCAUCUACAAAAAUGGAAAAACAGAGCUCGCCUCUUCGAGUUGUUACAGACUAAAUGCAAUAGUGAAUGAGAGCUCCUAGCACACAGGAAGCCCACCUGCCAGCCCUCCCUUCUUCUUCCCCUCUUUCACAGAACAGAGCAGAUCACAAAUGACACUGCAAGGUGAUACCUGCUGUGGAGAAAAAUGAGGCAGGGAAAGAGGGGCUGAAGAGUGGGAGAGGAGGGAAUGUUAUGAUUUUAAAUAGGGCUGGCUGUCAGGGGAAGUCCCUGUGAAAAGGUAACAUUUGAGCAAAGAGAUGAGGGCCUCAGCCAAGAGGACCUCCAGGAGGAAGGCAUCCCAGGGGGAGGGCAUGGCCAGGGCAAAGGACUGGAGGUGGGGGUAUUGUUAUAAAAUGCUGCAUGGGGCCAGGUGCGGUGGCUCACACCUACAAUCCCAACACUGUGGGAGGCCGAGGCAGGUGGAUCACCUGAGGUUGAGAGUUUGAUACCAGCCUGGCCAACAUGGUGAAACCCUAUCUCUACCAAAAGUACAAAAAUGAGCCAGGCAUGGUGGCACACGUCUGUCAUCCCAGCUACUCAGGAGGCUGAGGCAGGAGAAUCACUUGAACCUGGGAGGUGGAAGUUGCAGUGAGCCAAGACUGCACCACUGCACUCCAGCCAGGGUGACAGAAUAAGACUCUGUCUAAAAUAAAAUAAAAUAAAAUAAAAUAAAAUAAAAUAAAAUAAAAUAAAAUAAAAUAGUAAAAAAUAAAAUAAAAUGCUGCAUGGCACAGACAGCAUGUUUGACGUUUGGAUCAAGGAGCAAGGAAGGGGGUGGAGCAUCCCUCACCCUCCCUCCCUCUCUCAUUUCCCUAAAUCAUAUUGCCCUCAUCUGCUCUUAAACCUGGAGCUUCCCAAACACACACAUGGAUUAGGCACACAAAGUGUUAGGUUUGCUCCAACCCUGCAGGAUGGAAGAUAAGUCAAAGCUCCAGGGGAGAUGAAAGGGGCAGGAGACCAGGGCUGAGGUCUGCCCAGCUCAACUAGCUCCUGGGUUCCCAAACAGUCCCCACUGUACUCUGCUCUCCUCUAUUUUGUUUUUAAACACUGAUUGGGCACUGACUGUCUACAUGCAAGAUCCUUUGGUGAGUGCAUUAAUAAAUAUGAUCUCCAAAUGUGAACACCAAGGGCUUCAAAUAUUUUG
rnacentral:lncRNA from 1 species